rnacentral:rRNA from 1 species
GACGAAGGAUGCAAGCGUUAUCCGGAUUCAUUGGGUUUAAAGGGAGCGCAGGUGGCCUUAUAAGUCAGUGGUGAAAUCUCUGGGCUUAACCCAGAAAUUGCCAUUGAUACUGUAGGGCUUGAGUAUAGAUGCCGUUGGCGGAAUAUGACAUGUAGUGGUGAAAUACAUAGAGAUGUCAUAGAACACCGAUUGCGAAGGCAGCUAACGAAACUAUAACUGACACUGAGGCUCGAAAGUGUGGGGAUCAAACAGG